CAACCAGAGUCCCGACUCUCACAACCGUGAAUCUAGCAAAUCUCUCACAGUCGGAUGGGACUUCAGAGUAAACAAACACGGCGGACGACGGGCAUGUGGAGCCAGAUGACCAGAAGCAGCUACUUCUUACAAAAAAUUCACAAAGAAAGGAAAGAAAUGUGGAUGAAGUCAUGGAGGAGGUGUGACCAAAGACUGUACAUGUUACAGUGGGUGCUGAAGGUUUGGAUCUGCUGUACUGCAGUUUGUCCUGACGGGUGAUGAAGGAUUCAGUUCAACCAGCGUGGGUUUUUCCGAGGCUGAUACCAGUGAUUUAGGCUAAAGCUCGGAACUGUAUGGACAGACUGAUGAUUUCAUCCUCAGCUAUGUUAAACGUCUCCACCACUUCCCCUGGUUCCAGCACACGAUUCU